rnacentral:rRNA from 1 species
AAGCAUAUCAAUAAGCGGAGGAAAAGAAACUAACAAGGAUUCCCCUAGUAACGGCGAGUGAAGCGGGAAGAGCUCAAAUUUGAAAUCUAGUAGCCUUCGGCUGCUCGAGUUGUAAUCUAGAGAAGUGUUUUCCGUGCCGGCCCAUGUACAAGUCCCUUGGAACAGGGCGUCAUAGAGGGUGAGAAUCCCGUCCUUGACAUGGACCCCCGGUGCUCUGUGAUACACUUUCAACGAGUCGAGUUGUUUGGGAAUGCAGCUCAAAAUGGGUGGUGAAUUCCAUCUAAAGCUAAAUAUUGGCGAGAGACCGAUAGCGAACAAGUACCGUGAGGGAAAGAUGAAAAGCACUUUGGAAAGAGAGUUAAACAGUACGUGAAAUUGUUGAAAGGGAAACGAUUGAAGUCAGUCAUGCUCUUUGGUAUUUAUAUCAUUGAGUGGGGUCAACAUCAGUUUUGAUCGAUGGAUAAAGGCACUAGGAAGGUAGCACUCUCGGGUGAACUUAUAGCCUGGCGUCAUAUACAUUGAUUGGGACUGAGGAACGCAGCAUGCCUUUAUGGCCGGGAUUCGUCCACGUACAUGCUUAGGAUGUUGACAUAAUGGCUUUAAACGACCCGUCUUGAAACACGGACCAAGGAGUCUAACAUAUCUGCGAGUG